AACCGUAAUCGUACCCCCUCCUAACUGCCAAAGUGUCAUGGCCGCCGUCGGGACCUAUUGUGCUGACAUUUACAAUGUUUACAUAUAGAAAAGUUUGUUUUUUUUCUGCUUAUAAUGCCGUUUUCUAAAGAUAUUAGUGAACAAAAUCGAUUUGCUAACAAUAUUUAAUAUAUUUUAAAUGUGCUAAAAUUGGAUUCAACAGCAAAAGUCGCAUAAAUAACAUAUAAAUAACGAAUUUGUUCACCUAUUACAAAUGGGGUUAUGUGGUUGUAACUGUUUAUUUUGGGAAUAAAAUGAAAAUGAUCAAUUAAACGACUGGAAAACUAUAGUGAAGUGAAGAACAUCUUGAAGUUCCAAUGAUGUUUCAAGAUGAGGUAAAUCGAAAUAAUUGUAUGUUAGAAGGACAGAGAAUAUGAAGAAAUGUUAUUGCUGCAUAUUUAGUGUAGUGAAAUACAAACUUCAAACAUUAUAAUAUAUUUUUUGAUUUCAAACAUUUCAUAUGAUUAUGAAAGAACAUCUUUCUUUUUAAAACAAUGAAGAAGUGAAGAACAUAAUAAAGUUCCAACGAAAAUGAUUCCAGAUGAGGAAAAUCGAAAUAAUGGUUGUAUGUUAAGUGUAUAGAGAAUACGAAGAAAUGUUAUUGCUGCAAACUUAGUGUAGUGAAUUAAAAACUUAUUGUCAAAUACAAAUCAAUUUAUUUCAUACUUUUAUAAUAUAUAGUGAUAUAAUUUUAUAUGUGUUCAAAUAAAAAUAUUAAUAAAUAAAAUACAAUAAACACAAA